rnacentral:piRNA from 1 species
UGAAUAGUUUAUAAAUGCCCCU